AAGCCCAAGUCUGGACCUAAGCCUGAGACUGAGUGCUUCUACUGCAACGGGACUGGUCACUGGAAGCGGAACUGCCCCAAGUAUUUGGUGGAUAAGAAGGAUGGCAAAGUGAACAAAGUUAUAUUUGAUAUACAUGUUAUUGAUGUGUACUUUACUAGUGUUUAUAGCAAUCCCUCGGUAUUUCAUACUGGUUCAGUUGCUAAGAGUAGUAACUCGAAACGAGAGUUGCAGAAUGAACAGAAACUAGUUAAGGACGAUGUGACGAUGUGUCUUGGAAGUAGUUCCAAGAUUGAUAUGAUCAUCAUCGCACACUCCCUAUACUUUCGGGAUUAG
rnacentral:rRNA from 1 species